UACGAAGGGGGCUAGCGUUGCUCGGAAUCACUGGGCGUAAAGGGUGCGUAGGCGGGUCUUUAAGUCAGGGGUGAAAUCCUGGAGCUCAACUCCAGAACUGCCUUUGAUACUGAAGAUCUUGAGUUCGGGGAGAGGUGAGUGGAACUGCGAGUGUAGAGGUGAAAUUCGUAGAUAUUCGCAAGAACACCAGUGGCGAAGGCGGCUCACUGGCCCGAUACUGACGCUGAGGCACGAAAGCGUGGGAGCAAACAGG
rnacentral:rRNA from 1 species